UCUCUCUCCAUCCACCGUUAAAACGCCCCCCCUCUCUCCUUCUUCUCCACCAAGUUCUUGGCUUUAUCAUCCUUUGCUUCUUUAUAAAUAAAAAAUAAAACCCUAGAAUUAAAGGACCCUCUCUUUCGUUCUUUGUUUUUGCUUUUACAGAUCUCAAAAAAAUUCCUUUUCUUAAUCUGUUACUCUUCUCUCUCUUUCUCUGUGAGCUUGGGCUUUUGAAGGUGAAUCUUUGGAUUUCUUAUUCCGGGUAAAAUUCGACAACUUAGAGAAGGUUAUUAUUAUUUAAAAGUUGGAGGUCAGGGUCUCAUGAAAAUUGUUAGGGGAAUGCAGAAAUCCUUUCGCUGCAACGACAAGGAGCUGAGUGCGCUGGGCUGGAAGAAUUCCUUCAGCCAAGGAAUUGGCAUCACUGCACCUAAGGCAAGAACGCGCGACAAACCAACGAGUCUUUAAGUUUUGGCCAUUUUGGAGGAAGAAUUGACGCACUUAGUAAAUAAUUGAGGACGAUAAAGCUUGAAGCCAGAUGACUCGUAUUCUAGUUCAGCGAGGCAGUGGUUCUUCUUCGAACCAGAGCCGUGCAGGAUCUUCUUCUUCGGCUGCUAGGCCAGAUACACAGGGUACUAGCAUCCUUCAGGCUGUUUCGAUUCUGAAAGAUGAGGAUGUUGGUGAGGAGGUGCAAGAGCAGGUAGUGGUCGAUGAAUUCUUGGAGAAUGGUGGUAGUCAUGAUAAUAAAGUGGUAAAAAGUGACGAGCUUUUGAUGGGAAGCACAAAUGGCGACCGAAGUGACAGUUUAAAUGAUGAAAUUAUUGAUAACAAUAAAGUGGAUAAUGAGGAAGGGGUGGGAUCAGGGGAUUCGGUUAAAGGAUUGGGUGGGCUGAUUUUGGAGAGAUCUCCGGUGGAGAGUGAAGGUUCAAGUUCUGAUUCUCCAGCGAAUUGUAGUGGAAGCCCCCCUCCGCCGCCGCCGCCUCCUGUGCCGCCUCCAAAACCUGACCUAACAAACUUGAAUUCAAGGAGAUUUAUAUCAGGAACUUCAAAUUCUGUGCGAAUUGGAUCAUCUAGGAGAGCAGUCGCCUUGCCCCUUGUUUCUUCAAGGUCUUCACCAACUGGAUCACGGCCAUCUUCUCCUAGGUCUCAUGGUGAGAAUGAGGGGUACAAUAGUGCUGAUGAGCAGAAUCCUUGCUUUGUUUCCUCUUAUGAUGAUUUCGAAAGAGAGCGGCAGUUUGAGAUUGACAUCAGACGGUCCAAAGGGUUAGAAGUCAAAAGAAUGUUGGAGGAUGGGAAUUGUCUCUUCCGUGCUGUGACAGAUCAAGUUUAUGGGGAUUCUGAAAUGUAUGAUUUGGCCAGACAAAUGUGCGUGGACUAUAUGGAAAGGGAAAGGGAUCACUUUUCUCAAUUCAUUACUGAAGGUUUUACAUCUUACUGUAAGAGGAAGAGAAGAGACAAGGUGUAUGGAAACAAUGUGGAGAUCCAAGCUUUAUCAGAAAUGUACAAUCGACCAAUCCACAUUUAUUCCUAUAGCACCGAACCCAUCAACAUUGGGAGCUACAAUACAGACACACCUCCCAUACAGCUAAGCUAUCAUCAUGGUAAUCAUUACAACUCUCUUGUCAACCCACGCCGUUCAACAAUUGGUGCAGGACUUGGUUUCAGCUGUCUUCAAGGGGCUAGUAUAGUGAAAGAGACUGAUGUUGCUGACACAGGCAACAAUUUUGUUUGCAGGCAAGUGUGGAUAGAGAUCAGGUCAAAGCUGCUAUUAAAGCUCAACAAGACCAGCAGAUUGAUAAUGCACUUCUGGCUGAGGGGCAGUUUUACUCUGAUCUUGAGGUUACUGAGAAGGAGAUCGAACGCAUGGUGAUGGAAGCUUCUAGAGCUGAGUAUCUUGCUGAUAACAAGUUCAAGCCACAACUUGGCCGUAAAGGAUCUUCUACUUCUGGUGCAGAACCAUCAUCUUCUGGCGCUAGAUCAUCAUCGGCCAGUGAGACUACUAAGGUGGAAGGUGCAAGAGAACAUGGCUUACUGGAUACUGUCCUUAGCAGCAGUAUGCAGAUCGUGCUGUCAAUGGGAUUCAGUUACCUGCAAGCAAUUGAGGCCUACAGCAUAUUUGGUGAUGAUGUGGAUUCCAUGGUUUGUUACCUCAUAGAAACCAGCAGCAGCAGCAGCAGCAGACGCAAAGGCAAGGCAACUGAAUGAACCACGAUAGAGAUUGAGAAUUUUCCCGUCAGACCAAAUUGACUCUCAGUGCUGGCGUUGUACUUAGAUGGAGAGAAAAAAAACCUGGUCCAAUUGAACACAAACUUCCAGAACUUGAGAAUCUGUUUUUGAAGUUUGAAUGAUCAAUAAAAUGGACAUAGUAGCUAACCUUUAAGAUGGCCUUUUCUAACUAGAACGUGGAGCAUGUUAUGAUUCGGUCUAGGCAUUGAAAUGUUACAGUGUCGUCUCCUGGCUGGUUAAGCAGUUAAUAAUAGCAUUGUCGUGUGAAUGUUCCGUUUGACGGUUCGAGGAGAAUAUUAUCAGGUGAAUUAGUAUGUUCAAAUCUACUCCUACCAUCCACCAUGAUAUUAGAGUUAUUUCUUUCUAUCUCA